GAUGAACGCUGGCGGCGUGCCUAAUACAUGCAAGUCGAGCGAACAGGUAAGGAGCUUGCUCCUCUGACGUUCGAGGCGGACGGGUGAGUAACCCGUGGGUACCCUACCUAUAAGACUGGAAUAACUCCGGGACAACGGGGCCAAUGCCGGAGAACAUUUAGAACAGCAUGGUUCUAAAGUGAAAGAUGGCUUUGCUAUCCCUUAUAGCUGGCCCCGAGCCGUAUUAGCUAGUUGGUAAGGUAACGGCUUAGCAAGGCAACGAUACGUAGCCGACCUGAGAGGGUGAACGGCCACACUGGAACUGAGACACGGUCCAGACUCCUACGGGAGGCAGCAGUAGGGAAUCUUCCGCAAUGGGCGAAAGCCUGACGGAGCAACGCCGCGUGAGUGAUGAAGGGUUUCGGCUCGUAAAGCUCUGUUAUUAGGGAAGAACAAACGUGUAAGUAACUGUGCACGUCUUGACGGUACCUAAUCAGAAAGCCACGGCUAACUACGUGCCAGCAGCCGCCGUAAGAC
rnacentral:rRNA from 1 species